rnacentral:lncRNA from 1 species
AUUGCUGCUGGUGUACUAGAGGAAAUGCAUUAUUAUUAUAAUCUGGAUUGUUUUGCUUAAUGUUGAAAUCUCAUUUAAUUUAAUCAGCUAAAAUGUGAGCACUGACAUAUUGUUGUUGCAACAAUUUUGUUAAUUUGAUGAUGGAGAUAAUAAAGCUAGCAGCCAAGGAAGGGGCAAUGCUUGUUUACUAAAAAGGCCUGCAAACUAUUAGAAAAGCACGAGCUAAGAGUUUGGGAUUCAGUGAUGAAAUAAGGAGCAAUUAUUCUGAGAUGGAUUAUGUUGGAGAGGAAUUAGAAUUUGCUGGUAGAAUAUUUGCACAAAAUCCUGUUUGGCCUGUAAUUGGUUAGACAAAAAUCAAGUUUCAUUUGUUCAUUUUGGUGGUUGAACAUUUGUUGACAGUCUGCAGAGUGGGUAGACAAAUGCAGAUGAGAUAGUGGUGGUUGAACAUUUGUUGAUAUGUAUUAUAUUUAAGUUGUAUAUUUAACUAAUGUAUUAGCUUCUCUUAUUUGUAAUCAUAUUAGCUUUUCUAUUUGCAAUAAUAAUGUCAGUUGGGUUUAAUAUAUCAGCUUCCCUCAUUUGAAUAAUAGUGUCAGUUAGGUUUAACAUAUCAGCUUCUCUUAUUUGCAAUCCUCAACAAGGUAUUUAUAAACCAAGAAAGAAACAAAAGGAAUCCCAGAACAAGUACAAGCUCAACACACAUUGAGUAAUGCAUACAAUUAAUUGAAGUUAAUUACAAAUCGAGGGAGCUUAAAUCCGAGUUGCCGUUUUAAUUCUAUUGAAACUGUUGAACCUAGACCAGACUUAAUAUCCAAUCAAGACUCUCCAGGAUCUAACUGAACUCUCUAAUCAAAAUCUAAUGAAUGGUUUAAUCAAUUCACACAAAGAAAUCACCCAGAAUCAAUACACAAAGAACAACAAAUAUAAGUGGUUCGGCUGGAGGCAGCCUACAUCCACUGAAGAACAGAGCAACAACUUUUAUUCAAUAGCCAAGAACAAGUUUCAAGUAUGAAGACGAAGUUACAAGCAACACCCCCUCUGAUUUCCCAGUCCCUGAGACUAUUUAUACUAGCUUAGAGCCCGUUACCAAGACUCCCUGUCAAUCAGCUGUGAUCUGGGUUUGUUAGCUAACAAACCCAGAAUUCUCCCGCCUGUUUAUAACUGACUUAACAGCUUCUAGGACACGUGUCGAACUCUUACAAACAACAAGCCCCAAAACGACAUUCUUUUAUGCCGUUCAGAGUAAGUGGAAGCACGUGACAUUAACGUGCUUCACUUAAAGCUUUGGUUGACGACCAAAGUUUGUCAUACAAGCUUGUAUCAUCUUCGGAUGACAUGUCGUAUACCAACAGGACCACAAAUUGACAUGAUGGUUGAUCUUCUGGAAAUCAGUUUAAAGCUCAUACUUUAACAUUCUCCACCUUGAGCUUAAAACUCUCAUGACCUGCUACUCUUCUCUCCCACCAUCUGUAAUUUAGUUAUCACAGAUGCCAGCCAAAUUUAAAUAGAAUUUGAAUUUAGGUCCUGGAACAGCUUUAGUUAAUAUAUCUGCAACAUUGUCAUCUGUAUGGAUUUUCUGAAGCAUUACAGUUGCUUUUGAGACUUCCAGCCUUAUGAAGUGCACCUUAAUGUCAAUGUGUUUGGUUCUUUCAUGGUGUGUUUGAUUCUUGCUUAGGCAUAUAGCACUUUGGCUAUCACAAUGUAUCACCACAGACCUCUGAUUGACUCCAAGCUCCUUCAACAUACCCUUCAGCCAUAUUGCCUCUUUUAUGGCUUCAGCAGCAACUGUGUACUCUGCUUCAGUUGUGGACAAGGCCACUACACUCUGUAGCUGUUAUUUCCAGUUUAUUGUGCAAUUGUUGAAUGUGAAAAGAUAACCAGUUAAAGACCUUCUUCUAUCCAAGUCCCCUGCAUAAUCAGCAUCCACAUAUCCCACAAUUAAACUGCCAUCUCUUCUCUGUCCCCUAUAUAUCAGACCAUGCCCAGAAGUUCCCCUUAGAUACCUGAGUAUCCACUUUACAGCCUUCCAAUGUUCUUUUCCAGGAUUGGACAUAUAUCUACUGACCACACUGACUGCAUGUGCUAUAUCAGGUCUGGUGAGCACUAUGGCAUACAUUAAGCAACCUACAGCACUUGCAUAAGGUAUCUUUAUCAUUUCAGACUUGUCAGUAUCAGCUGUUGGGCACUGCUGUUAUGAUAAUCUGAAGUGAGCUGGUAAUGGUGUUUGCACUGGUUUGGCAGUAGUCAUGUCAAACUUAUCAAGUACUCUCCUGAUGUAAUCUUCCUGUGUAAGAAACAAGGUGCCAGAUUUCCAAUCUCUAAUUAGCUGCAUUCCAAGUAUCUUCUUAGCUGGUCCCAGAUCCUUCAUCUCAAAUUCACCUUUGAGUUGUUGUUUCAGAAAAUUUAUGUGUCCUAUGCUUUUGCUGGCAAUAAGCAUGUCAUCCACAUACAGAAUCAGAUAAACCAUGUCCCCUGAUAUCUCUUUGUAGUAAACACAGCAGUCUAGAUUACACCUCUGAAAACAAAGUUUUAUCAUAAAGCUGUCAAACCUGAGAUACCACUGUCUUGGAGACUGCUUGAGGCCAUAAAGUGAUUUCUUCAGAAGGCAUACCCAAUCACCAUUUGACUGGUCUUCAAAGCCUUCAGGUUGAGACAUUACUAUUUGUUCUUCAAGCUCACCAUGUAAAAAUGCAGUCUUAACAUCCAUCUGUUCAAGAUGCAUGAUCCACAUACAGAAUCAGAUAAACCAUGUCCCCAGAUAUCUCUUUGUAAUAAACACAGCAGUCUAGAUUACACCUUUGAAAACAAAGUUUCAUCAUAAAGCUGUCAAACCUGAGAUACCACUGUCUUGGGGACUGCUUGAGGCCAUAAAGUGAUUUCUUCAGAAGGCAUACCCAAUCACUAUUUGACUGGUCUUCAAAGCCUUCAGGUUGAGACAUUACUAUUUGUUCUUCAAGCUCACCAAGUAAGAAUGCAGUCUUAACAUCCAUCUGUUCAAGAUGCAUGCUAUGAACUGCAACCAGAGCUACGAUCAUUCUUAUUGAGGUAUGUCUCACUACAGGUGAGUAGACUUCUGUAAAAUCAAUCCCCUAUCUCUGUGUGUAGCCUUUGGCAACUAGCCUAGCUUUAUAUCUCAUGGAUUCAACCCCUGGUAUACCCUGCUUGACCUUGUAAACCCAUUUACAGCCUACUACCCUUUUGUUUUCUGGUCUUUUUACAAGCUUCCAGGUGUUAUUUUUGUGUAAUGACUCCAUUUCAUCCUUCAUAGCUUUUAUCCAUUUAUCUGCAUCAUUUCCUGAAACAGCUUCUCUGUAGGUUUUGGGCUCAUCAUUGUCUAGUUCAUGGGCUGCUGUUAGUGCAUAUGCAAUCAAAUCUGCAUAUGCAAACCUCUUAGGUGUUUUGAUAACUCUCCUUUGUCUGUCUCUUGCCAGUUGAUAGUCUUGAAUAUCUGUAUGAGUUCCAGAAGCUUCACUGAUAUCUUCAGCAUUUUCUCUCUCCAUGUCUUCAGCUUCAUCAUGGUAGUCAAGAGCUGAUUUUCCUUUAAACUCCACCUUCAAAUGUUGUCCCUGUGAGUCAAGUCCUCCUUUUGGUUUAGCAGGAUCCUUUUGAUGUCCUUUCAUUAACAUCUCUGACUCAUUGAAGACUACAUCUCGGCUGACUAUGCACUUUGGUGGCUUCAUUUCAGUGCACCAGAGUUUAUAACCUUUGACACCUUCAGGAUAACCCAUGAAUACACAUUUCAGUGCUCUUGGCUCCAGCUUCCCUUGUUUGACAUGUGCAUAAGCUGGACAACCAAAAAUCUUAAGAUUUGAAUAAUUUGCUGCCCUUCAUGACCACAUCUCUACUGGUGUCUUGAAGUUUAAGGCACUGGAUAGACUUCUAUUCACUAGAUAACAUGUUGUCAUCAAGGUUUCAGCCCACAAUGUUUGAGGAAGCUUUGAAUGGAUCAGUAAACAUCUGACUUUAUCCAUCAAAGUCCUAUUCAUUCUUUCUGCUAGCCCAUUCUACUGUGGAGUGUAACUCACUGUUUUGUGUCUUGCUAUGCCAUUGAGUUUGCAAAAAUCAUCAAACUGUUUGUUGCAGAAUUUGUUGCAGAAUUCAAGCCCAUUAUCAGUCCUUAGUCUCUUAAUCUUCCUACCACUCUGAGUUUCUACCAAUGCUUUCCAUUGUUUGAACCUCUCGAAGACUUCAUCCUUACCUUUCAAGACAUAAACCCAUACCACCCUCGAGUAAUCAUCUAUAAAAGAGAGAAAGUAUUUUGCUCCACCUAGAGAGACAGUCUGUGAUGGUCCCCACAGAUCUGAAUGGAUGUAAUCUAGGGUCCCUUUUGUGUUAUGCACUGCAGUUUUGAAACUAGUUCUUGAGGACUUGCCUAGGACACAUACCUCACAGAACUCCAAGGACCCCAACUUAUCAUCCCCUAAGACUCCCUGUUUUUCUAGAAUUUUUAGCCCAUUUUCACUCAUAUGUCCUAACCUUAGAUGCCAUAUGAGAGUUUUAUCCAAACCCAGACUUGCUGAGAUACUAACAUCCCCAGUUACAGCAGUGCCUUGAAGCACAUAUAAGCCAUUUUGCUUAUUCCCUUUCAUAACCACUAUAGACCCUCUAACAACCUUCAUUACUCCAGAUUCAACCUUAAUGGAGCAUCCAAUUUGAUCUAGAGUGCCUAGAGAUAUUAAAUUUCUUUUUAGAUCAGGAAUAUGCCUCACAUCUCUUAGCUCCCUAAUCAUUCCAUCAAACAUCUUAAAUCUAAUGGUUCCUAACCGAACAACCUUACACAUUGUGUUAUUCCCCAUCAGAACCUCACCUCCAUUAAAAGCAUUAUAAGUAGUAAAAAGAUUUUGAUCAGGGCACAUGUGAUAUGAACAUCCAGAAUCAAGAAUCCACUUACUGUUUGUCUGAGUUUCAGAAGCCAAAAGGACACCAGCUGAGUCAUAGCCUUCAUCUUCUGAUGCAAUAGCAGCAUCACCAUUCUUCCCAUGCCCUUCAUUUCCCUUGUUCUUUCUAUCUGGGCAGUCCCUCUUAAAAUGCCCUUCCUUGUGACAGUGAAAGCAUUUCAGAUUUUUAUUCUUGGACUUUGACUUGUCUCUUUUCUUCCCUUUGUUGUAAUAUUUCUUCUCAGGUCUUCAUUUUGCCAUCAGACCUUCCCCAGCUUUAGUUUCUGCCUUCUUUGUGACUUCUUUAGAGCUGAGAGAAUCCUUUACAUCAGCCAUUGAUAUUGACUGCCUUCCAUAAAGCAGUGUAUCUACAAAGUGUUCAUAUGAUGGUGGGAGAGAUGAUAACAAGAUUAUUGCCUUGUCUUCAUCCUCAAGACUCAUAUUGAUAUCUUCAAGAUCCAAGAUGAUCCUGUUAAAGUUAUCAAUGUGAGUUGCCAGAGAGCUUGCUUCCUCCAUUUGCAAAGUAUACAGCCUCUUUUUGGUACAAAGUCUUUUGGUUAGAGACUUCUUGGUAUAUAGAUCUUCAAGUUUUUUCCAGAGGCCUGCAGCAGUAGUUUGGUCUCCCACUUCCCUGAGAACUCCAUCUCCCAGACUUCUGCAGCAGUAAUUUGGUCUCCCACUUCCCUGAGAACUCCAUCUCCCAGACUCAAGAUUAGUGUGCUAUGAGCUUUAUCUAAAGCAUCUCGCAUUUCUUCAUCAGAAAGCUUGCUGGGUUUCUUUUCAGAUCUUGGAUCACCCAAAGUCUCCACCAGCCCCUGAUGAACCAACAGAGCUCUCAUCUUGAGCCGCCAUAGAUGAAAGUCAUUUUCUCCAGUGAAUUUUUCUACCUCAAACUUAGAGGUUCCCAUUUCUUGGAUCAAAGAUCAGAGAUGAGGCUCCGAUACCAAUUUGUUGAACCUCGACCAGAAUUAUUAUCCAAUCAAGAAUCUCCAGGACCUAGCUAAACUCUCUAAUCAAUAUCUAAAGAAAAGGUUUAAUCAAAUCACACGAAGAAAUCACCCAGAAACAAUACACAAAGAACAACAAAAUAUAAGUGGUUCGGCUGGAGGCAGCCUACAUCCACUGAAGAACAGAGCAACAGCUUUUAUUCAAUAACCAAGAACAAGUUUCAAGUAUGAAGACGAAGUUACAAGCAACACCCCCUCUGAUUUCCCAGUCCCUUAGACUAUUUAUACUAGCUUAGAGCCCGUUACCAAGACUCCCUGUCAAUCAGCUGUGAUCUGGGUUUGUUAGCUAACAAACCCAGAAUUCUCCCGCCUGUUUAUAACUGACUUAACAGCUUCUAGGACACGUGUCGAACUCUUACAAACAACAAGCCCCAAAACGACAUUCUUUUAUGCCGUUCAGAGUAAGUGGAAGCACGUGACAUUAACGUGCUUCACUUAAAGCUUUGGUUGACGACCAAAGUUUGUCAUACAAGCUUGUAUCAUCUUCGGAUGACAUGUCGUAUACCAACAGGACCACAAACUGACAUGACGGUUGAUCUUCUGGAAAUCAAUUUAAAGCUCAUACUUUAACAGAAACAAUGGACAAUAUAAUUUAUUAAUAGAGCAUAAAGAUUUGAGUAAUAUAAAGCCACUCUUUCUUUGAAACAAAUAAACAUGGAGGCUGCAAUUACAGGAUAAAUUUUCCUCAACAUCACGAAGGUUGCAAUUACAGGGCAAUGAGCUUCAACUCCCUAACAGUCAACUCAUGAACAACACAAUGUCCUACAUGAGUUACCUUAACAAGACGAUUACGGUAGCUGUCGGAGACAUGACUAUCACUGAGUGAGGGAGAUCAGAGCCGACACUGCGUGAGGAGAGUUGAGACUUGCUGGCUGCUGCGUGGUGAGGGAGAUCGGAGCCGACACUCCGCGAUGAGGAAACUUGGGAAAAUUCGAGCAACGCUGGCUGUUGAAUAGAGCGAGACGCGUGAGAGAGUUUGUUGCAUGCGCGUGCGUGGCAAAUUUUUCUCCCAAAAAUCAGAUUUUAUACUGAGCACAAAACGCACCAGUGUUGUGCUUAAGUGUUGUGAGAAUAUCAUUUUCCUUUGGGCUAUGGGCUAUCGUCCCCCUGAUUGAUUACUCUGUUAUUUUGCCUCUUAACAAGGGUUUUAUUCAAAUUAAAAAGGGGAAAAAAUAAAAAUAAAAAGGGAGCGAAGUAAAAAUGGAAGCAAAAUUACAAACUCAAGGAUUCAGUUUAUACAUUUUUAGAGUUCGUAAAUCACUUGCUUCAACUUCCCCUUUACCUAAUGUCCGUAUAUCUAUAUCGCAGUUUGAUGAAGAGUUAGAUAAUGCCUUCACAGUUUUUGGCGCCUUGUUUGAUGAAGAGUUAGAUAAUGCCUUCACAGUUUUUGGAUCCUUCUUCAAUAUUCUCACACUUUGUAUCACCAAAACAGACACCAUACCUUCAGCAAAAUCCGCAGAAGCAAGCAUAUCACCAAUAAUUCCAAGCUCGUCAUACUCAACCCAAGGCUUUGUUUCUUCCUGCAAUCGGGAGCUAAAUGGUUGCUGCCUACCUACAAUUACAAGGUCAUUAUCACUCACCAAAGAACGAAACGCAUUCACUAGCUGCUUAGAGUCAUUUGCAUCUAUCCGACGACACACUACAUUUGGAUUUCCAAAAUUACUUGCCAUGAAAUCAUUCAUCACAACUUCAUCAAGACACUUGUCGUCCUCGUCUUCCACGAGAUUUUCUUCCAAGUAAAUCCUAGAAAGCGUAAUUCUCACACCAGGAUUGCUAGACAUGUGCGAAACCAAUGCCAUUGCCUCUCUAUCAUCAGGCCCCCCUAUGAAGAACACUGCAACGUUGUAGCAGAAGUUGGCUGGCUUUGCUGAGUUAGAAUAGUUAUUCAACCUUUUAUCAACAAAAAUCCCAACAGUGCAUGGAGCAUAACCGAGGACAUUAUUGUUUAAACCGUGCAAGCACGCUGCUCUUCCUUCAGUUUCUUCAUUUGGUGGAAUGAAUUGAAGAAGAAUUAAAGUGAUGCAGUUAUCUUUAACUAGCUUGCAAAUGCUCUCAUGCAUUGUUUCAUAUGGUGAAAUCAUUAUGAAGGGCUGAAUUGUGACAGCAUCAUUGGAGCCUUCUGCGUAUUUUAUAACAGCACGCAUAAUGUGAUCUGUGGAAUUAGCCAUUGCUUUAGUCUUUUGGGUGCUGUAAGUCUCCACGACAGGUGCUGCUCGACCGACAAGCUCGACCAAGUGGACUACAUAGGCGCAUAUCGGGUUCAUUUCGGUUGGAUUUGAUGCUUUAAUCAGAUGAACGAUGCCGCUGAUAUGAUCUUCAUCGUGAAUACCGCAAAGGAUUCGUAGUUCGCUGUCUGGUAACGCUGUUUGGAGCGUCCCCAUGGCGAUCGAUUCAAGCCUUCUCUGGGGAUUGUAAUAGACGCUAAUUAAAGGCGUAACGAUUGCAGUCACAGCCAAAUUCGUCAGCACCAACACACUGUAAGUCUGUACAUCUAUCAACUGCAAAUUAAUUAAAACAGGAACCAUGUCUAUUAGAUUUCCAUUACAUCAUUAAUCUCGACGAUUAGCUUGUUUUAGAAAUAAUCGGAGAAUGACUUUUUAAACACAUUGUUUAUUAUACAAAUAAGAUUUUUUAAUAAACAAGUUAAUUAUAGAGGAAAAUGUCAUAUUUACCAAAUGUCUUCUUUGUUAAUCAAGUACUCUUAACUGAUGAAAUUGUAAUUCUUAAAAGAAAAUAAAUAAAGAAAUAAAUAAUAUGAAUUUACCUCACGUUGUCUCCAUCGCAAGAAAGUCACCAACUCACUUACACCCUUGAUAUUCACGAAGCAGCUGAAUAAGAGAGCAUUUCGGAAACUUGUUCUAAAACAAGUGGUGGCCAAAAUACUAGCGACCACCUUGCCUAUGUAUGCUGCCAUAAUGAUCAACUCAAGUGCGGCAAAUGCCCUCCAAUUAUUGAUUGAAUAUAUAUCAAUUUGCUGGCCAACGUGAAUAUAGAAGAAAGGCAGGAAAAAAUUUGAGAGUAUGGCUUCACUUUUCUCUACCAACGCUGAGCCCAACGGUGGUCCAGCUGGUAUAACUAUGCCAAGCAUUGCUGCCCCUAUCGUGUAAUUUACUCUCAUGCUGUCACACGCAACUGCCAUAACUAAGGCUCCAGUUAGUAUUGCAACGAUAUAAAAAUCCUUCACUGGCUUCCUCUCAGGUAUUCUUCUUAUAAUCCACUGAAUUGUUGGCCAUAAAACCAAGAACGUGAACAAUGACAUUGCACAAAGGGAAAGCUCGAUUCUGAUCGCUACCGAGCGAUAUUUUGCUUUGCUUAAAGGUGCCAUUAAGAGUCUUAGCAGUCCAACUAUCUCAUGAAGUAGUGCAGAGGAUAUGGCAAGUUGGCCUAACUCAGAAUUCAGCAACUUGAGCUCACUUAUAGCAUCAACAAGAACAGGAUAAGCGCAUUUUGAUGCCACAAAACUGAUAGAUAUCCCUUGGUCAUGAAUUCUGGGUAUCUUGUAUUGUUCCCUAUGACCAACUAAAAGGCUGAUUAAUAAAGGAACAAUAAAGACGGUCAAGCUAACACUGUAGGUUUUCUUUAUUGUCCUUGGAAUCAUACCCUUGUCCAUUUUUACUGUAUUUAUGAAGACAAAGUAGAUUCCACCAAUUGUCGAUGCUGCUUGAGCAAACACCAUCCCUCUUCCUCCAGUAACAUAUGCGUCAAACAUCUUGAUUCGACCUAAGAAAGAAGGUCCUAAGAUAAUUCCACUCUGCACCGCAGGAAAAUAAAGUCAUCAGGUAUGCAAAAUUUACGUACUCAGCGUGCCUGAUAGGAAAAAUAAAGUCUGAGACUUCACCAGUUCAACCAACUAAAUAAAUCAGCACUUCUUCUCUUUAGCAAAAAAUAUUAAUUUGUGGUUUACAAAUCUUACAAUAUUUUAUUACUUCAAUUCUCAUUUCAUAAAAAAGAGGAAGUCCGCACGAGAGAAUUAUCACAUAAGUGAAUGAUCAUAAGCUAGAACAAUAAUUUAGAAAGGGGGGAGGGGGGAGUAAAAGGAAAUUUAAAGCAUAUGAAUACGAACCAAUGUAUUGCUGACAAAUUUAGGUUGUUUCAAAGGUCUGAGAAGAAUGUAGAGUAUUUGGGAGAUUGAAAAAGCCAAGCUGACUUGAAGCAUCACGACAGGGAGAACAGAAGAGACAGCCUCUUCGUCAAGAUUAAUGCCAUGGUAAGAGAACUUCGUGCUCUCGUUAUAUGACACACAAGUCGUGAAUCUAUCGUCUUCUAUCCAAUGCCUGUGCCUUGUGUCAUUCAACAAGAAGGUACCCAUUUUGUUUGCCGAGAAACUUCAAAUUGGGAACUUUGUUUUCUUCUCAAGCUCCUUACAUUUUGGUUUGUAUAGCAGUCAAAUGUAUUUUCCAAACAAGUGGUUGUAACCAAAAAAUUUUCUCUUUCAGGAAUACAAGGAAAAUGAUGUAUAUUUAAUAUUCCAGGUAAUUGUAGCUAAUUUAAGGGUAUUACAUGCGGGUCUACUGGGGUCAAAUCGAGAUGGCAGAAAUACAUGCUGUUAAUUCUCAAGUCCAUGCUGUUAAUUCUCAAGUCCAUGCUGUUAAUUCUCAGGUACAGAAGUGUUGAGCAGUCAACGAUGUCCCCGGAUGCAGGUAAAAGUGUAUUUCUGCAGAAGUGUCACUCGUAGAUUUGACUCCGGGACAGAUUCUAUAUAUAUCGACAAUAAAAUUAAUAAAUUAAAUAGAUAAUAGCCAUAAGAAUUUUGUGUUUCAUUUUUCAUCAUUAAAAUUAAUAAAUACGUAUAAUGGGCAAGGAUUCCCUUGAUCGAGUUUCUUCUGUAACAAAAUUUGUGGAUGCUUUAUGAGGGUGGAGUACAAAAAUAAAUAAGGAAAAUGCUUAGUAUCUAGAAGGGCAAGUGAAACAUAUUUAAUUAAAAAAAUUAAAAAUAUUAAUAAAAAAUAAUAAAAAAAUAAAUUUUCUUGUGCUUCUUUCGCCUUUCUAGAUACCUAUCAGCACUCAAUAAAUAAUGAUUUACUCACAUUCAGAAUGACAAUAUUUAGUUUGCUCUCAAAAGAUUUAGAAAAUAUAAAUUUACUCGUGAAAAGUUAGAUGUAAAAUGUUGUGCUUCAACCAAAUAAUGAGCUGUGGCAGUAAUUUUUUUUUUAUUUUUUCAUCUUAAAUUCUUUGGGUGAAAACAAUACUUUCUCUGAUUUCUAUCGUAUUUUGAGAUUCCCAAUUCAUUUGCUAAAUUUAUAAUCUCUCAAAAUAUUCUCAACACAAACUCUUAUUCCUUUUCUUAACUAAAACAAUUUUCUAUUGUAUCGCAUCCACAUUUCUUUUUCGUAAUUCUUUUUUCUAUUUACCUAUACUUGGGUGAAUAAAUUUAAAAAAUUUUGAAAAAUUAAUAAUUUUUUGUAUUACUCUAUCUUAGGGUCCAGCUACCUUGCAACAGUUGCAAGGUACCAAAUUUUAAAGAUUUUAAAUGUAAAAUGAAGGUUUUGUAUAUUUCACUAUUGUUUUUAUCAAGUUUUUUGGAGCUGCUUGGUCUCUGAUUAAUUAAAUCGACCACAAAAAAGGAAAAAAAUCAGGGAGAAAAAAAAUGAGAAUUUUUAGAGAGGAAAGGGAAAUUUGAGGUUUACAUUUAUUUCAAGUAAAAUUGUUCUAUUACGUAACAAACAGAUAGUGAAAAAGACAUGUAAAUUGAUAAGAUUUUGCCACGUGUACAAACAGAUAAUGAAAAUUAACGGGCUUUACCGGUUCCUAUUUGGUUGCAAAAUUGCAAUAGGCCAAAUGAAUUGGAAAAAAUGAAACUCCUCUUGGUUUUUUUCCUUUUACGUUAAAAGGAAAGAGGUGAAACAAUUUGAACUCUUCAUCAACAUAUCUUUGUAAUUAUCUAGGUCAAAAUAUUAAUAUUUUUAAAUUAGAUAAAUAAGAUGAUUUCUUUCAAUUAUUAAUUAUUUAAUAUGAUUAGGAAAUAACUAAUUAUGAUGUAUGUAGAUGUAAUGGAUGAAAAAUUAAAUCCCUUCUAUAGGUCGACAUUUUAAGUUAAGAGAACCCACCCAUAUAUAUAAUAAUUAAUACUAUAUUACUCUUAUUAUUAACUUUGAAAUACUUUCACUCCAUUUAUAAUAUUUUUUCUUAUAAAUGAGUAAUUAAAAAAAUAUUUUUAUAGUAUAAUAUCAAGUAAUUUCAUUGGUAAUCACGGGACAACUUCUUUUAUGAUUUUUUAGUACUGUGAUAUUUUACAAUGAAUCUACGGAUGUUUACAAUUAGGGUCCGCCUACGUUACAUGUAGUGUAACGUACACUCAGCCUGUGAAAUUUCAUCNNNNNNNNNNNNNNNNNNNNNNNNNNNNNNNNNNNNNNNNNNNNNNNNNNNNNNNNNNNNNNNNNNNNNNNNNNNNNNNNNNNNNNNNNNNNNNNNNNNNNNNNNNNNNNNNNNNNNNNNNNNNNNNNNNNNNNNNNNNNNNNNNNNNNNNNNNNNNNNNNNNNNNNNNNNNNNNNNNNNNNNNNNNNNNNNNNNNNNNNNNNNNNNNNNNNNNNNNNNNNNNNNNNNNNNNNNNNNNNNNNNNNNNNNNNNNNNNNNNNNNNNNNNNNNNNNNNNNNNNNNNNNNNNNNNNNNNNNNNNNNNNNNNNNNNNNNNNNNNNNNNNNNNNNNNNNNNNNNNNNNNNNNNNNNNNNNNNNNNNNNNNNNNNNNNNNNNNNNNNNNNNNNNNNNNNNNNNNNNNNNNNNNNNNNNNNNNNNNNNNNNNNNNNNNNNNNNNNNNNNNNNNNNNNNNNNNNNNNNNNNNNNNNNNNNNNNNNNNNNNNNNNNNNNNNNNNNNNNNNNNNNNNNNNNNNNNNNNNNNNNNNNNNNNNNNNNNNNNNNNNNNNNNNNNNNNNNAAAAAUAUUUAUGAUUAUAAUAAAAUAAUAAUUAUAAUUAUAAUUCAUUUAACAAUAAUUAUAUUUUUUAAUUAAAUAGAGGUUAUUUUGAGAAUUUAAUAUUAUAGGGGCGAAUUCAUACUCUAGGGUUUUAAUAAAAUAAAAUUGAGUGUAUAAGGGGUUAAACGAAAUUGUACAUUUCAAAAAAUUUAUAAUAUUUAUGAAUAAAAUAUAAAUAACAGAAAGUAUAAGGGGCUAGAUGAAAUUUCACAGGCUGAGUGUACGUUACACUACAUGUAACGUAGGCGGACCCUUACAAUUAAUAUCUAUUGAGACUAAUCUAAAUCAAUUUUUAUUAUAGUGCAGCUUAGAUUUCUACUUCCACUAAUAAUCAAGAGCAUGCUCUACCUAUAUUUGUAGAAAAAAAAAAAUUAUCCUUACCAUUUUAUACGUGGGUUUGACUCCCAUGACAUGCCAAUAGGACUCAAACCAAGACUCUCAUUCUAAUCUACCAAGCAUGGUGUCAACUUAUCUUAUACAGGGGUAGAUCAAUCACUUUUUAUUAUGCUGAGCUAAAUUUAUGGUAAGUAUUUGUGUAAAUAUUGAUUCAUGUGUAGGAGUAAAACAACAAAUAUAUUAAGCAACACCAUGUCAAAACUUUUAGUAAAACACAUAUAUUUAAUAAAAGAAUAAAUACAUAUAUUUAAUAAAAAGAAUGACAAUAAUGCAAUAAAUAAAUACAUAUAUCUAAUAAAAGAAUGAUAAUAAUGCAAUAAAUAAGCUUAUAGUGUCAAUUGUUAAAUUAAAAAAAUUAUUUAUCAAUUCUUUUUAUUUUAGUGAUCUAGAAUGUGAGAUAUUUGAAUAGUUUGAUUUAAUGAAAAGAAAUAAAGAAUACGACCAUAAAAGAAAUACACCAUGAAAUUAUGAAAAAUAUUAUUAACUGUUAAUAUAUCAUUUUAUAACUUUCUAAUACUAGUGAUAAUGUUAUAUAAUAAGUUGAAGCAAUAACAAUAUUUUAGCCCUAGUAAUUUCAAUUUAUUCAAUAAAUAUAUAAUUUAAUCAUUUUAAAAAUAAGUCACUAACUCUAAUUGAUAAAAAAAAAUAAUAAUUGAAUUAGGAACAUACUUGAAAAUAAAAUAAAAACUCUAUUAUUAUAUAAAAGUAAAUAAAACUUAAGGCUAGAUAUAUCAGGAUCCUCAUUAUUUUAUGUGGAUUUGUGGUAUUUUUAUAAUUUUAUUUGUGAAUUUUUGGUUGUGUUCGACUUGAAUUCAUGUUAUUUUUUAUGUUUAAUUUAUGUCGUGGUAUUUUUAUUUGUGAAUUUAUGGUAUUGUAUGUUACUCUAGGUAUUGAAUUGUUAAUUAUUGAAUUAGGAUUAGAUUUUAUUUGAUAUUAUUAGGUAAGUUAUUAAAUUUUAAAUUAUAUUUUCAAAUUGUUACAUUUUAAUUUAUGUGGAUCUGGAUAUCUGGGAUAUCCGCGCGCAAUCUGUGCAGAUAUUACUUGCGUCCGGAUCCGCAUAUUUUUUUGUGGAUUCAUAUGCAAAUCCAAAUAUGAAAAAUAUUAAUAUGGAUCCAGAUCUGGAUGCACUCACAUCCGGAUCCAGAUCUGGAUUUUGCCAUCCUUAAAUUUAUUCCAUAAAUAUAUGACAUAAUUAGUACAUAAAACAACUCUCUAACUCUAAUUGGAAAAGAAAGAGUUGAAUUGGGGAUAUAUUUAAAAGUAAAAUAAAAAUAUAUUAUUAUUAUAAACGAAAUUUUCUAGCUUAGGUCUGCCGCGAAUCUUAUGAAUUUGGAAUAAAUUUUGAUUAUUGUAGGAGUAGGCAUAACCAAUUAACAAUCAAAACGUGGAAAUAUUAGAAUAGUAAUCACACAAUUUAGUCUAGUUUGCCCUCUUACUUUAUCUUUCAAAUGUAACCACUUACCUUAGUGUACCUCACAUUAUAAUGCCAUUGUUAUAAGAAAAUAAAUAAAUAAAUACAUGAGUUAUAAUUAAUCAUUUCACUAUUGAGACAAAAUUUUAUUAAGUAAGAGUGUUCUCAUAUGUAUGUCUAAAACACUUAUAUUUUCGAAAAUAUCUCACAUAACAAUAAAGAGUUAGGGAAUUUUAAUCUCACCCAAAAUCCAACGAGUAAAAAUAUUAAACAAAUGAUAAGUAGAAAAUAGAUAGAGAAAAAAAUCAAUCACACAUUAUAAAAAUUUACAUGGAAAAUUGUUAUACCUGAGAUAAAUCACGGUCACUAAGGACGACGAGAGAAAAAUUCACAAUGUAAAAAAUUAUUAUAAUCAGUCUAAUAUUUUCUUCACACCAAAAUUCCAAUAACACACAAUCUCUCAGUAGACCUAUCGUUUCUCUUAAAUUAGAAGCUGUCUACUUGCAGAGAAAUUGAUUGUUAUGUUAUGCUAACAAAUGAACUCAAUCUCCUUAUAUGUAGUGAUUGUUUCUUAUAAGAAAAAUAUUCAUUUUCUUAUGUAAGUUAUAUUCCUCGUUGAAUAAAUUAAGUUCCAAAGGGACAUUACUUAUUACUAAAAUAGAAAUUCUCCUAAAGAGGAAAAUAUUUUAAAAAAUUCUUAUUGAAAAAAUGAGACAUAUUUCAUAAUAACAAGAAGUUUAAAAUAAUUUAUUUCGGUAAAUUUAGUAUUUCAUAUAUGGAAUUCUGAAUUCAACAUUAAUAGGCUUGACAGUUUCUUGUAUGAAUUUUGCGGUUGUGAAUUUUUUGCUCUUAACUCUGGAAUUUGCAUCGUUUCGAUGGCUAAAGGAAAAAAUUGCCCACGAUGAAAAGGUCAUUUUAGGGCGCCCAUGAAGAUGUUUGGUUUGAUUUUUAAUGUGCAUAAUCUGGGUUGUUAUAAGGAACUGCAAAGGUGAAGAAAUGAGAAAAUAAAAAACGAAGUGUGGAGUAAUAAUAGGAAGGAAGAAAAAUAGUAAGUUGAUUUCCUUUUAAUGAAACCUUUUCAUCCGGUUGCACUUUUGUUCUGGAGCAUUUAUUACUAGCGUUAGAUUUCUGUCCUUAAAUCCAACGGUUCAGCACGGUUAGUUGUUAGUAAUAGAAUGUGUAACAUAGCAAGGUCCAUACAUAUAUGUAUGUAUAUAUGUGUGUGUGUGUGUGUGUGUGUGCAUGUGGAGAUUUGUCAUUGGUUGGAGUAGGAAGUUGAUACGACGUUGACAAAUGACAUGGCAGUUCUAGAGCACGCAAGACGUUUUUAAAAAAGAUGACGGGAAAUUCUUACUUUGUGUUUUCAUAACAGUAAAAAAAUUUCAUCAUCUAACAAGCUUUACCAAUCUUCUUUGAAUAUCAUCUUGCUGUCAACUGAGAGUGUUUCGCGCUCCGCCAUCUUUUGUGUUCAAGACGUGAGCAAUACAAUCCCGUUAUCAUCUUCAUUCGAAUUUGUUUUCACAGCAUGGCUUCAUGUGCUUCUGCAGUAUUAUGACCAAAUUAUUGUUCAAUGUUGUUUUUCAAAAUCGCUGUUUCCAUGAAGCAAAAAUGAGAAUCAAAAUUAUUGUUCAAUGUUGUUUUUCAAAAUCGCUGUUUUGCAUGAAGUAAAAAUGAGAAUCAAAAUGUUAUUUUGAAAUUUAUUUUUAAAAUUUAAAAAUAUAUUCAGUAUUAUUUUAAAAAAUAAUCUUUAAAAUAAGAAAAAGUAAAACAUAUUCGGUAGGAUUAUUUUAAAGAAUUAUUUUUAGAAUAAUUUUCAUAAACUUAAAAUUAAACAAUGUAUAAUCAUUUUCAUUAUUUAAUUAGUUUGAUUAUUUUAAUUUAAAAAACAAAUUAGGUGAUCUUGUUAAUUUUUUUGUUUAAAGAAAAAUGAUAAACUCUUCAUAUUUAAUUUAGUUAAUAUAUUAAAACAUAAACAUUAUAAUGUAUAUAAAAAAAAGAUUAUUACCAGAUAAAUUGAUUUUUUGAUAAUAAUAAUAGUAGUAGUAGUAGUAGCAGCAACAGUAGUGGUAGUAGUGAUAGUAGUAGUAGUAAUAGUAAUGGUGAUGGUAAUAGUAGUAGUAGUGGUAGUAAUAGUAGUGAUACUAAUGGUAGUAGUGGUAGUAGUGGUAAUGGUGGUGGUGGUGGUGGUAGUAGUAAUAGUAGUAGUCUAGUGGUAGUAGUGGUAGUAGUAGCAGUAUUGUUAGUAGUGGUAGAAGUAGUAGUAAUAAUGGUGGUGGUACUAGUAGUAGUAGUGGUAGUAGUAAUAAUGAUACUAGUGGUAGUAAUAGUAGUAGUAGUGGUAGUGGUAGCAGUGGUAGUAGCAGUAGUAGUCGUAGUCGUAGUCGUAGUCAUAGUAGUAGUAGUAAUAGUAGUAGUAGUAGUGGUAGUAGUAGUAGUAGUAGUAGUGGUAGUAGUAGUGAUAAUAGUAGUAGUAGCAGUGGUAGUAGUGGUAGUAGCAGUGGUAGUAGUGGUGGUAGUGGUGGUGUUAGUAGUAGCGUGGUAGUAGUAGUAGUAGUAGUGGUAGUAGUGGUAAUAAUAGUAGUAGUGGUAGUAGUAGUAGUGGUAGUGGUGGUAGUAGUCGUAGUGGUAGUAAUAAUUGUAGUGGUAGUGGUAGUAGUAGUGGUGGUGGUAGUAGUAGUGGUAGUUGUAGUGGUAGUGAUAGUAGUACUGGUAGUGGUAGUAGUAGUAGUAGUAGUACUGGUAGUGGUAGUAGUAGUAGUAGUAGUAGUGGUAGUGGUAGUGGUAGUGGUAGUAGUGGUAGUAGUAGUAGUAAUGUUGUUAUAAAAUUUUCUAGAAGAAAUAAUAAUAAUAAUAAUGUUGUUGGUAUCAUUAUUAUUAUUGAGAGAUGGUGGAAGAAAAUUGCUCAUUUUAAAACUUAAUAUUUAUUGUGAAACAAGAAAAAUUAUUUUCUUAUUUCAUUUGAUAAAAGUGUAAAAUAAAUUUUAUAUUUUUAAACAUUUUUUUAGAAAUAAUCUACCGAAUAUAUAUUUAGCAUUUUCUAAAUUUAGAAAAUAAAAAACAGACAUUGAGAACAAUAUCCGAACCAUCCACGACGCCAUCUACUUUUCUAAGGAAAGGGGGUGACAAAAUUUGAGAAUUCAAUCCAAUUUAUUAAGAUAAUUGACUAUGAAGUUUCAACUUUCAAGUGCUAUCUGUUUGGUUUGAUUUGAAAUCUGAAAAUAAGGCCUUAGAAAAAGUUUUAAGAUGUGUCAUUUGAGCUUCCAUUAUCCAGAAAUUUUUUCACUAUUAUGAAUACCUGCCGAUAAACGACUUCUACAAAUCAAGUAAAGAAUUCUAAUUCAGCUAUACAAACUUCUGCUGCUUAAAACAUUAAGAGACUACGAUCAAGGAAACGCCGCUUUUUACAUCUCAUAGUCAAAGUGAACCAAAAUGCAGUUGAGGUUUCUGUCACAUUUCUAUAUGUCAACAAUUAGCAGCUAUAAACACGCAGAAAAUUUAACAGAAGAACAGCAUCGCAGCAAAACUAUCAUAAGCUUUCCAGUUUCCGUAAUCUAGCUGAGUUAUCUCGAGUGUUGUGACAAACUCUACUGAUAAUUUCCCAUGUCAGCAAUUCAUCAACACUUGCUACAUACAUAAAGAUUCACUGCAGGGUUAGCAGCUACAUAAAUCUUUCCGUUAUUGAUCCUUCAUUUGUUUCGCAUGAAAGUUCUCUUCAGGUUUGUUUUGUUUCACAGGAAAGUUCUCUUCGGGUUGCCUUUGCCACAAAAAGUUGGCUGUCUCUAUCCACCUUGGAUCCACCAAAAACUUAGCUUCCUUUGCUGCCCAGCGAGACUUUUCUGUUCGAGCAUCUGUUGAAACCACAUGUGUCACUGAUGGAUCAAGUUCUAUCAAGCACGUGGCUCCUAACUGCUCCGCCAUCUUCCAUAGAUAGUGAGUAUCUGCUGGGAAUUUAGUUGGAAAAACAUGACUGAAGACAAGUUUACACCCCUUUAAGACUUCCCCCCGGACCAUUUUGAGCACCUGCCAGCAAGAUAUGAUGAUCAAAAGUCCUCAUAAACGUAGAUCUUCCUAUUGGAGUUAGUGUGCAAAUAAAUGGAGUUCUAUAACUGAGAAAUGACUUUCAUAAACCAACAUUUAUACAUGAGAUAAUAAAUCAAUUUGCAAUGACAGAAAACAGAUUCAUUGGAAUUAGAUUGCAUAUGAAGACCAAAAAACAAAAAAAGUCAUGGUAAAUAUCACUCAUAGAAGAAUAUUAAGGACCCAACCGAUACUGGUCAUGAUCACUGUCAAUCAUCCAAGAAAUGUCUUACCUGCCUCACAUCUCUGCCAGCAAGAUCGUUCGCAAGUUCCUACAAAAUGAUUUCCAGUAAAUAGAGUCAAGCACCUAAACAAACAAUAUCGAAUUUCAUCAACAACUGCUGAGGAAGAGAGAUGUACAUCGAAGAAAAUAUUGUGGAUUCGCUUGAGAACUUUAAGAACAGAUGCAAGUGCACCCUCUAGCUCACUUUCAUCACUCCUCAACUGAGAUAGAGAUUGACAGUGGUAGCCAAAUUGGCGACAACUUGAAGCAAAGAAAUGAUAUCUUUCCAUCAGUAUCAAAUUGUCUCUGUGCUUCGUCCAUGCCUACAUAAUGGACGUCAUCACGAAAAUGAUUCAGAUAGACACCAUCAUUUCAUUUCAGAAAAGUUCAAGUCAAAAAGGAAAUCAACAAUUCUUCAGCAUGUUUUGUAUAUUUUGAACUCCCUUUAAUAUUUGCAAGAAAAAAAAGAAUAGCCAUGCAAUUACCCCCAAGCAAAUCAUAGAAAAGGGGGAAAAAUUUACUAGCUCAAAAUUAAUAGGCUCCCCAAGUAUUAUUCAGAUGUACAUUAUAACAAUUCUCAUCACUUUAUUGUGAUGAUUUAUUACCGUACAGAUAACAACAGAUAGGAAAUUUAGGUAGGAAAUUUAGGAGGUUGAAACUUACGUUUUCUGUGUCAUCAAGAAUCAGAACAGCACUUUCUUGCCCCAGUACCACAUCAAGGCCCUUCUGAUGUCUUUGAGUGCCAUCAUCUCGUGAAAUCACUCUAGCAUUGAAGUACUCUCUGCUGGGAUCAAGCAACUUAGCCAUUUCUAAGGCAUAAGGCCUGUCACCCAUAGUGUAUAUGUACAUCUCAAACAUUUCACUUGCUUCUUUCAAAAAUGUGUGGACAAAUGGCCUCAAUUUCGUCAUCAUAUUCAUAAAUGCCAACAUAAAGAGGCUCCCUUUUGAAACAUCUACUUGUUUCACAACAAAAUGAAAAACAUAAAGCAUUAAGAAGCCAAUAAAACCCAUAUUGUGGAAUAUGAUAAUCCGACACAGCAAAACUUAUAACCAACAAAUAUGUUGGUGAGCUCAUCAUUCAAAACAUAAUUGCAAAAACAAACCAUGAUGAAGUCAAAAGCAAAGUUGAUAGCUAAGAUUCUCAAUAAGAGCUCGUAUUAAAUUUGCAGGACUGACUAACACAAAGCAUAAUCCUACUUCUGAAUUAAAUUCUGUCAUACUCUUCAAUUCAUCAUUGAUUUAAAGGAUCCUACCAUAACCUUCAUCUUAUCUGCUCUUCCAUGCACCUAAUAAUGGUUCUAAUUACCCCUCUCGGCCUUUUUUUCAAGCAAUAACAAGCUGGUCUAUCCUUUUCUUUGGAUUUAAAUAGUUGCUUCCAUGCUCAUACUAGCAACAUCAUCACAAUUGCUACUACAGUUAAGACAACCUAGAAGUGUCGAACUUUAGCUUUUGUAACUACUAUUUCUCUCAUUCUUUUCUUAAUGCCAAAGAAUUUUUAUUUGUUAAGCCUUUUUACUUGUAGAUUAGCUUAUUCUUCUGAAUAAAAAAUCAAAAGUUAGAAUUAAACCAAUGAUGUGAAACAUUGAAUAAAAAUAAUCAAAAUUUAGAAUUAAACGAACAAUGUGAAACAAGAAAACAGUGCCUAAUAUGCCAAUUAUGGAAUCAUAUAUUAAGCUAUUACUAUCUACCUUGAAGAGAAUCUGCUUGGCUCUUCAAGUAAUCCUCCUCCGGAGUCAAAUGGAGAAGCAAAGUCGAGUUAAGUAGCGUGUGAUCAAGGUCAAGUAUUAAAUAAAGCUUUCUAUGACGUAACAAAUGCUUCAUAUCUGUGUUCCGCAAACGAUCAAUUUCAUCAUUUCCAAGCCUUAGGCCCUACAAGAAAAGUAGUUACUACAACUCAUUAAUCAAGUUAAAAGUAAUAGAGAGCAUAUUACACUUUGCUAGUAUAGUCAUGUUUUCAUAUACCGAUAUGGAAUACCCUGGAAGAUAAAAUGAGAGAGAAAGCACAGUCAACAAUCAGGGUUCGUGAUUCUACAAGUACUUGUUGGUAAUCUCUGAAAAGUAUACCUUACAUAUGUAACUGAAUGUGACACCAGAUUCCUCUUCCAACCUUUUUCCACACCUGUAACACAUGCCCCCAAGGGAUCCCGGAUGUGGACAGUUAUCCAUUUCUAAGGACACUUCUGCACAAUACAACAUGUCUGCUCCAAUUCAAUCCAGCCAAUUGAGUGUUUGAAUUAAUAAAAGUAAACCUAAAAUGAAGGAGUGCAUGAUGUACUAAGACAUUAUAUCAUGCCAUUCCAAUAAAAGUGGUUUCUACGUGAUACAGUGAGGCACACAUAUCUUGGACAGCUUAAAGAUUAAUGCAGUGAAAUACAGAAAAAAAAAACCAAUUACUACUUGGAUUAGUCUAUUACCAAUAGUUCAAACUCAACCAGGUGGACAUGUUGAUUGAGGUUUACAAUUCCUUUGAAGUCCUAUAUAUCCCAUUUCUCCAAAACAAAUGUUUUCUCAUAUCCUUGGGCAUCUAUCAAGUUCAGUAGUUUAAACAUACCACCUGAGAAAACUAAAAUAAUGAAUGCAAAUCACAUGACUUCAUGAUUUAUCUCCUGCAAAGGGUGGGUUGUCUAUCCAAAACCGCUCACAGUGUUGCACCGUUAAUUAGGCAACUCUCCAACAGUUCAUCCAGUGGAUAAAAAUAGAUCACAUACAUGGAAAAAGUUUACCUGUCUUUUCUUCAAGAUUUCCAAGUAAGGUUGGCCCCGGACGCUCCUGUAUGGUUUCAACUAUCUGCGUCUUGCGCCUUUUUAUCCUGUAAGUUAAUUCAUAUAAGCAAUGAUUGAAGAAAAUAACAGGGAAAAGGACAAAGAAAAAGUGAAUACAUUUCUUCCCUAUGACUUCUAUAACCAGUGUAAGUAAAUAUGUAUCGAUAUAUAACCCAAUAAAAAGGUAGUAUUAUCAAAAGAUUAUUAUUUGGCCCCACAUCCAAUCUUCAUCCCCCCAAACAUUUCCAAAUGGUCAGAUAGCUUAUCAAUUUGCUCUCAAAAUAAAAAAAAUUAAAGCAACCUUAGAAUCUCUCCCUAUUCAAAAUGAAUUUAAGCAUGUGAUAGCAGUUAUGUAUAAGAGUAGAAUUGAACUAAAAUAUGUUAGAUAUGUAAACUCAACAGGAAAUGAUCGAAUGGAAGAUCAAUAAUUUGGACAGGCACAUCAUAUAUCAGUACAAUAGGUUAAAACUUCCACAAAAAUGAAAAAUAUAACAAAUAUCAAUGAAAUUCGACGAACCCUGAUGAAUUACACCAUUCAUAUAGAAUGAGAAAAAGCUACAAUAAGAAAAGAAAGAAGCAUUUUACCAUAAAAAUGCUCCAAGUAAAAGAGUACUCAUGUUGCAAUAAUGGCAAUACAACUAGUAUGCACAUGCAAAAGGAUGUCAUAUUGAUCUCAAACCAGAGACAAAAUCAUGUUGAUAUGCAUCCAACUUCUACCUUGCCUUUUAUGAUUAAUAUACAUAACCAUUAACUCAAACAGCUGACACACCAACAAAACAUGCCCUAAAAAAGGUUAAUCAGUUAAAUUCAUUCAUAACCCAAAAGGAACUAUAAACUACCUUUCGAGGUCUUUGUCAUCCCUGGCUUCCUCAUUCUCAGCUUCCUCGUCGAUAGACUCUUCGUCCUCAUCUUUAUCUUCAGCUUCUUUUUCUGGAGACGACCCUAACGAAUUAGAAUCAAGCUCAGCAUCAAGAAAUGCAGCAAAGUCAUCACUGCUGGAUGAGUUUACUGGAGAAUCAGUCGCGAGGCUCAUCUGAGUUAUUCAUCAAACACAACAUUGUAAUCUAAAUGUUGAAAUAUUAAAGUUGGAGAACAAAAGGUACAACCUACAAACUAUAACACACACAAAAGGCAGGGAAAAAAAAUUCUGACACAUUAUUUUCCAACUAUCAAUAUUUCUUUUCAAUUAUUAAUAUUCAAGUUUUUUUUUUAAAAAAAAUAAAAGAAUGGCACUGUUUUUCUUUAACCUUAACCCUCAGUUUCACUCAAGAAAAAUGAAAAUCUCCAUUUUCAUGGCAAUUAAAUGGUGGUAAACGGAAAGCCCAUGCAAAAAACAUUAUUUUUUUCUUUAGAAUAAAGUUAAUAAUGUUAAUGUAGAGGGGCUUACUUGCCUCACGGUGUGGCCGCUCAGCUGAGAGAUGCAAGAGGGUUGAUCGAUUUGGUUUCUUUGGCGGUCGAUUUUGGCUGGACAAGAGUGAGAGGGAGAAGAGAGACUGUUAAUACUAUGAAGAUUAAAAUAUUUGGAUAGGAACUGGCUGCAUUCUAAUCAUGACCCGGGAUUUGACUGUAGAGCCCACCAAUUGUUCGCCGCCACCUGGUAUCAAAAACAUAAAAAUAAGUGAAAUGCUUAGUAUUGUAAAUAUUAUUUAACAAACAACGUAGAAAAGCUAAAACCCACUAUAAAAAUUCAUAAAUAAGCAAAGGUUAUGAAUGAAUUUAACUGAUUAACCUUUAUUAAGGCAUGAUUUGUUGGUGUGCCAUCUGUUUUGAGUUAAUGGUUAUGUGCAUUAAUCAUAAAAAGCGAAAUAGAAGUUAUAUGCAUAUCAACAUGAUUUUGUCUCUGGAUUGAGAUCAAUAUGACAUCCUUUUGCAUGUCAUAUAGGUGAUAAUGCAGAUAUAAACAAUCCAAUUAUAUCAUGAAUUAUUGCUGUAGACAUUGUAAGUUGCCCUAACUCCGACUUUAAUAAAUUGAGCUCACUAGUGGCGUCCACAACAACAGCAAAAGAAGAUAUCGACGCAAGAGAACUACGAUAGUAAUAGAACCUUCCCUUAUGGAUUCCAGGAAUGUGGUCUCUUAACAUAUGAGAAAUUAGAAGGCUGAUUAAUAAAGGAACAAACAAAGCAGUCAUACUAACACUCCAAGUUUUCUUUACUGUCCUUAUAAGCAUAGCCUUGUCCAUUUUUAAUGUAUUUAUGAAGACAAAAUAUAUUCCCCCAAUUGUCGAUACUGUAUGAGCAAACACCAUCCCUCUUGCUUGAGUUCUUACGGUCCGAUAUCAAAACAUCUUGAUUCGACCUAAGAAAGAAGGUCCUAAGAUAAUUCCACCCUGUGCCACAGAAAAAUAAUGUCCACUCAAUAUGAAUACAUGAUAUGCUACUAGAGGCAAAAAUUUUACCAAUUCAACCAACUAGUGCCUAAGAUUCUCUUCCGCAGACAUCUACAUUUUAAAAAAUGCAAUAUGUCUGCAUUUUGUAAAAUGCGAUGGAAUUGGAGUUACAGAUUGCAGUAUUGCAUACAAUCCUCUGAUUCACAUUUCAUAAAUGUAAAGAAGUCUGCACCAGAAAAUUUCAUAAAAUUGAGUAAAUAGUAAUCAUCAAAAAUACGAAUUUCAUUUGAUUCAAAGGUCUGGGAAGAAAGUAAAGUAUUUGGGAGAUUGAAAAAGCCAAGCUGACUUGAAGCAUCACAACGGGGAGAACAGAAGAGAUAAUCCGCUUGUUAAGAUUAAUGCCAUGGUAAGAGAAUUUCGCCCUCCAGUUAUAUACCAAGCAAGAAGUGAAAUUGCGCUAGUUAACGCAAAACUACCGAUUGUAUUUGCCAAACUAAAAUUCUUUUUAGUUUGGAGAGUGUUUCAAUUUCAUUUUGUCUUGACGAAAAAAAUGAAAUAAGAGAAAUUUGGUCAAAAUUUUCAUCUACUUUUUUUUUUCCUGAUGACCAGCUCAAUGUUGAGGACUUGAGGGUAAAACUAAAGGUGGGCGUCGGUUCGGCAUAGGAGAAAACCGAAAUUUUUCUGUUCGGCUUGAAAAUUUCAAAAGCCGAAUAACACUAAAAUAAAAUAAUAACCGAACCAGAACUGAUGGGUUCGGUUCAGUAACAGUUCUGAUUAAAGGUACUGUAAUAGAUCGGACCUGGGGAAUCUCCUCUCUGCAACAACAAAUAUAUGGUUUUUCACCAUUUUUAUUGAAUGCACAGAACACAAUCACACAACUCAAUUAGCUGUGAAGAAAAACUAAACAUAAAAAAUUUACAGCAAACACACACGCAUACACACACGCAUACAUACAUACAUACAUACAUACACGCAUACAUACAUACAUACAUACAUACAUAUAUAUAUUCUCCAUGCAUAAUUACGCUGCAAAAACGGACAUCAGCAAAAAUGAGUGUGUAUAAAAGCAAAAACAAAAUCAUGUUGCAGGGUGAUUUUGAUCUAUUAAUAGAAUGCACUCCAAUUAAAAUUACGAAAUGAAACCAAAUUAAAGUACCUGCGAGCUGUAAUACGCAGUGAGGGGCUUAGAGAACUUGGUGACCAGUGACCACAACAGAGUCAACAACCUUGAAGGAAGCGGCAGCGGCAGUGACCACAGCCGAGCCAGAGCGAAGCAGCAGCAGCAGCAGCAGUGGACAUAAAGGAAGCAGCGAUGGCUGCUAGAUCGUGAAGCCAGAAGGAAGCAAAGACAGUUAUCUGCAGGCGGCAGCAAGGUCAGAAGAAAUCGGCAGCGGCAGCAGCUCCAGAAGGAAGCGGCAGCGAAAUUCGGCAGAUUUUUGGGUUAGAAUUUAGAAAAUAGAAAUUAGGGUUCAAAUAUAUGUUGUGUGUAUAACUUUACCUGUUUUCAGAGUAAUAAAAAUGCUAUUGGAAAUUGGUUUGGUUUCGGUUCUGAAAUUUUGAACCAAAAAUCGAACCGAGUGGUUGGAUUCGGUUUCGGAUUAAACUAUUUGGAUUUUUAAUUAGAAUUUACCGAAUCAAAAUAAAAAAAUGUAAAAGGUUACAACAAAAAAUAACUGGACGAGGAAAAAAAAAACUAAAAGAGAAUUCAAAUUGGUAGUUUAGCUGUUCAAAUUCCUUACAUUUUGUUUUGAAUAAUGCUCAAUUGUAUUUCUCAAAUAAUUAGUAGUUACAAUUUUUUUUUAAGGAAUAGAAAGAAAAUUAUGUAGAUUUAGUUUCCAAAUAAUUUUAGUUAAUUGGAGUUAAAGUCUUUCAUUUCUUAAAAUUUAAGAUGAUAUUCUUAACUCUCUUAAACAAAAAUUAUUUACUCUCUCUGAUUGUUAACCUCACAACCCUUUGUUUCAUUUAUUUUUCCUCUCUACAUAUCAUUUGAAAGCACAAAAUUAUUAAUUUUAACCACCAGAACUCGUCGUCCCCCACCGAAAAAUUCAUCAAACACAAGUCUAACAAAAAAAUUUGUGAUUAUGCUUGUCUAUUGACAACGGCAUUACUACCAAAUUGUGUGUUUGCUUCAAUAUGAUUUGGAAUCAAUUAAUUUGUUAUACAUGGUAUUAGAAAUUUUACUUCAAAUCUCAACUCUAGAUUUGAUUGGUAAAAAGAUUUACCACACAGUCAUAGCCCAUUUAAGUUUUUUCCCCCUGCAAGAGUGAAUGAUCGAAUGGUUUAAAGAACUCUUUUAGUAAAGGCCAGUUCAACGUGAAAGUGAAUUCAAGAAAACAUAUCUAUUUGAGAAUAUAGGGAAUGAAAUUUAGUUGACUCAUGAGUCAUGAGAUGAUUGCUUGCAAUGUUCAUAUUUUAGGGCAGUUAAUAUUUGGAUUAAGUAUUUGCUAAUAACUUUUAUUGCCAAUAUAUAUGACAACAAUAAAAGAACUGAGCAGUUCUAAGUUAUCAAAUUUAUAAUCUUAAGUACAUGAAAAAGGAUGUGCAAAUGGGAACAUGAUCUCUACUCUAUAUUAUGAAUUCAAAUAAAGAAAGAGAAAAUAAUAGUAAUUUUGAGCAAACAAAUAGAAACUUUCCCUUAUGCUUUUUAACAUUUAUAGUAUUAGGUCAUAAUUAAUAUGAGAAUUUGCUUUAAGUGGUCUAUAAAAUAAGUCCAAAACAACUUAAUAAGACAAAAUGACAAGCAAUUUGGACUUCUUUAACCAAUGAAACAAGUUGGUUGCUUCAAUCUUCCUCAUCAAUGACUUUGGUGCUCAACUCCUUCAGUCAUCCUAGAAGGAUUUCAACAACAAUGCUGCACAAAACUAACAAUAAAAGAAAAUAAGAGGGGAAAUGAAUGAAAACAACAACGAAGAAAAAUAAGUAGUAUCAAUGGUCUGCAGAAUACAACUUAAGCCUAUAGCUUGAGGCAAUCACUAUGCACAAUAAAACUCAAAUCACAGAUACAAGUGAAGAACUAAAAGCCAAAACAACUUCAUAUAUGAGUAGUGUAACAAGUCUGGAAAUGAUAUCCCAUAUAUAAUGGAGGUAGGCCCUAAAAUAUUACAACAUGUUUAACUCAAACAUUUUGCAUUAAAUUAGUUCAAUAUUAAAAAAAAAAUCUAAAAAAAACUCAAAUAACAGAUUUAUGAACUAACACAGUGGAUAUUUUAAAACAAUACAAUAACAAAAAGUGGUUUAAAAGAAUUCAAUCACAAAACUAGUACACUAACAUAAUCAUCAUUUUACCAUACUAUAGGAAUUGAAGAAGUUGGCUAUUAAACAUAUAAAUUUAAGUGAACAUAAUCAAUCAAAGUCUAAGCAUACUUACAACAAUCCUCUUCAUGAUUCUAUUGAUACCAAUUUAACGCAUUGCUUCAUUCUUUAAUAUUUCUGCAAAUAAUUAAAAAUAAACUUUUUAAAGAGAUCUUUAAUAUUGAAAGGUAAUUAUCACAAGAUUUAUUUGCAAUAUAUCUAGAUUUCAUGUUUCAAUACUUUUUCUAAUUGGAUUCAAAGGACAAAUACACUCAUCAUAUCCAAGUUUACCUUAUAAAUUGCACUUCCUCUUUUUCUUGCCAAGAGCCAACUCAAUACCACUUUUGAUUCAGCCAGUGUUGUUAACAUCUUUCUUUCGACCCUUGGUUUGUGAGAUGUACGGUACAGCAGUUCCCUAUGACCAACUAAAAGGCACUAAAGCAAGAUCAUCUUUUUGUUGCCAAACGGUGGCUGGUUGGUUUGAAAUACAUGACAGCUUUUUGGCUAGCUCGUUUAUACCAUCCAUGUAAAUAAAGUAUGCCUUGUUUGAAGAUGCAGCAACACAUCCUAAUUUAGUAGCUUGGUGGCAUAUAUGGCUUAGUCUCAAAGCCUCUAAUUCUUCUUUACCAUCAUUUAAAAAAAAAAAAUCUUUCAAAUCUAUCUUUCUAAAUUUACUUGCCUCUUGUUUCCAUCUUGAAAGAAUAAAAUGAUUUGGCAGCUUAUCAAUGUCUAAACAAACAAACACUUUUUUCAGCAUAUGUCUAUAAAGUAUUCCAACAAACUCAAUUUUUUUACAAUCACAAGUAUCCUCAUAAGUUUGCAAAUUUAACUUUACCAUAAACUCUUCAGAUUCUCCAAACUUUGUUCUCACUAGGUAUUUGAGAAAUUCGGCAUCACAUUCACUUUCUUCAACUUUUUAUUGAUUAACUUGACUCCAUUCAUCCUUGAAUUUAUUAAAAGCAUUUCUGGUAUAUAAUUGUGAUGCAUGUUUCAAAAGAAAUUAUCCAUCAUUGACAAUUCGAUAUUUGUGUUCUGAUUCAAAAUCUUCAUCACUUUCUUUUUCAAUAGUCCUUUUCAAUGCUUCCUCAUAUUUCACAGCAAACACUCUAAGAUUUGUCGAGGAUGUUAUAAAGCCAUAAAAAAAUGAAUUAGUGCCCUCACUUUGUCCUGUAGUAUUCAUUCUAGCAAAAAAAAAAAAAAUACUACGAUUAUAAACAGGUACCCAAGAAGCAGAUAUUUCAUAUAGAUGAUUUAGCCAUCCAUUGUCUUCCAAUUUAUUUUCUAUAAUCAAACUCUUCCAAGUUUCUUCAAAUCCCUCUACUUUGUAAGUAAACAUGAUACAUUUUUUCAAUCCGAUCUUGAAUAUGGACUUCUUGAAAUACACAUAUGACAGUUUCUCGACAAACUUCUUCUUAAUACGCCAAAGGCAUAAUUGAUGGUGAGUAUUUGGAAAAACCUCGCAAUUGCCCCUUUCACUACUAAGUCUUGGUCAGUAAUGAUAGAAACUGGAGUACGUCCUCCCAUGGCUUCAAGCCAUGCCUCAAAAAGUCAUUGAAAUGUUACCUUUGUUUCAUCUUAUAUAAGUGUAAAACUGAAUUGUAUUGACUGUAAAUGGUGGUUCACUCCUGUGAAUGGUGCAAAUGGCAUAUUGUACUUGUUUGUUCUAUAAGUUGUGUCAAAUGAAACUACAUUCUGAAAACAGUGAUUUGCCAACCGUGAUCAAGUAUCAACCCAAAAAAAAUUGGUUGCUUGCCCUUUUUCUAAUGUCCUUGCCCUUUUUCAUCACAUUAGAUUGCAUAAAAAAAGUUUGAGGAUUCUCAGCUUGCUUUUUACUAAAAUAUGUAAGGACUAAUUGGGCAUCCCCUUCAUCUAAUUGCCUAUGACGCACUUUCCUCAAAUGAUUAUAACAAUCUCUAUUGUUAAAUCUCAUUUUCGAACCUUCUAGAAUUGAACAAACUUUUGCAAUAAGCAAAUUUUCUCUAUGAAAAGCUUUAGUCAAAUUCUUAGCAGCUUUAGUCAUAUGUUUGUUUGACUUCAUCUUCAUUCUUCUAGCAGGAGUAACUACUUUAUGAUUGUGAGAGUCCUUGAAAAUCAUAACUUUCCACUUGUUUGACCAUUUAUCAUACAUAACCCGCAUACUAGCUUCACACCCGUAUUUGACUGUUGAACAAUUUCUACUCUUUUUUUGUAUUUACCUCACUUGCAUCUUUUUCAUUGUGUUCUUCCAUAAAAUUAGGCUUAUUACUCUUAGGCACAUACUGCCCUUGAUGGACACAAGUAAAUUGUCCACUGGUCACCUCAUUAUAGCCCACUCUACUCUUGGAAGAAGAUUGAGUUCGAAUCCAAAACCCCUCAUAUCUACCGUAAUCUUCAUAGUAGUUUCUAGCCUGCUCUAAUGUUUAAAAAAUCAUCCCCACAUAUAGUGCCUAAUUGUUCAAGAUUUUUUUCAACCUCUUCGCCAUUAUUCCCCUAUAAUGUGUCAAAUAAUUGAAAUAACAAAAUGAUUUAAUAAAAUGAAAAAAUAAAUAAUUUAUAAAAGAUAAAAAUAUUGAAAAAAUUAUGAAUUAGAAAAGUUAGCUAAAAUUAACUGUAAAAAAUAAAUAAAAAUAUUACAACAUAUCAAAUCUUCUAUAUUUUCAAGUAUUUUCACCAAGAGUUGUGAGGUUAAUAGUUGGAGAGAGUAAAGAAUUUUGUGGGAGAGAGUUAAAAAAUUUUAAUAGUUGAGGAAAAAAAAAGCAAAUGAAAAGUUAUAGAUUAAAAAGAAUUAGAGAAUUAGAGAAGAGAAGAGAAGAGUGGAGGGGAGAGAGAGAGAGAGCACAUCACAUGAAGGAAUGGAGAAAAUAAAAGAGUGAGAAAGAUUUGAGGUGGGGUCCAUAUGGAGAGAUAAAAUAUUAAAAGAUCUUGAAGAUUUAAUUUCAAUAAAUCUCAUCUAUUGAUUCAAUUCAAAUCUAAUGGAUAUUAAUUAGUAUAAAAUUGAAAAUAUUUUUGGGGGGCUGCUGAUCCAUCCCCUACACACACACACACACACAUACAAGGUGGCGGAAAUAUUUUUCCUAAUCACAUGCUGUUAAUUCCCAUAUAAAAAGAAGUGUUGAAUAAUGAUGGAUGGUUUAUUAGAAAAUACUAUAAUUUAGGUCUUUCUUGCAUAUUUAACUCUGACUUGGUUAUUUAAAAUUAAUUAAUUAAUUAACUAGUAACAAGAAAUUUUUAAUUUAAAAAAAAGAGAAUUUUGUAUAUAAUUUUUGGAUUAGAAUCCUGUCUUAAUUUAAAUUCUUUUGAAUUUUUAAAGAGUUUUCUGCCACCUGUAAAUAAGGAUAAAGAUCCUUAAAAAAAUUAUGAAAAGUGAAUUUAUAAUUUCUCCAAAAAUUAUUGAUAUCCACAUAAAUUAUGCGAUUGUUCUCGAUCAAGGAUCAUGACCAUCAUAUUAUGUGCUUUGAAAUGGUAAUUUUUAAUUGAGUCCUUAUUAUUUGUAGAAAAAAAUUCAGAGAUCAGAAGUUUAUAAAAUGAAUCGAUUAAAUCCUUUCAUGCACAAAUUUAUGUCAUUCAAGUCCUUAACUUAAUUCCUCCGUUAAAAAUAUUAACAACAUUGAGGACAUUUUAGUAAAAAAUAAUUGAGCACAUCGUCAUUCUUUAUUUUUGACAAGAGGUAAUAGUUUAAAGUAAACUCAAGUAAUCUAAGUUAAUGUUACAAAAAUUGCCGCAUUCUUUGUGUGAGAGAAUAGAUCGAAAGAACAUGGGAUCGCGCCAAAAAUGUUGUAUAAAUCUACCAUGACUUUGACCAAACCUUUGUCAGCAUUGAUUGAGUUCAAUUAUUGGAGAGAACCUAAGUUUAAAGGUUGGUAACUCCAUUUUUCUAGUUAUUUUUGCAAGUAUUUUCUGGUAAAGUUGUUCCCGUGUUUAAUGAUCUUUGUGAAAAAUUAGGCUUGUCAAGUCCAUUUUUCUAAAUGAUGAACUAUGUUUAAUUAUUGGUGGAUUUUUUUAUUGAAUGUUGUAUUUUUUUAAUUUACUUUUUAUAAUUUGCUAUUUAUGUAAUUAUUAGACCGAAUAUACCAUAUUUGUUUAUGUAUUUAUUGAACUUAAUUUGCCUAUUUUAUGGGCUUUCCUAAAUUGUUGUAUAUAUACUAUAUUUCUUUUCAAUUAAUUGGUAUCUUUAUAUUCAUAAGACUAAAUUCAUCGUAUUUGCUUCUUUGUUCAUUUAAAACUGAAUUCUAUGUGUUAUUAUCAGUAUUAAUAUUUAUACAUAUCAAACUAAAUUCACCAUAGUUGUUACUUGCUUUCUUUUUUGUUGGGUUAUUUUUCUCUUUUCAGUUUCUAUUUUUUAUAUGUAUUAGAUUGAAUUUGCUUUUGUAUUUUUUUUUAACCAAAUUACAUUUAAAAUUUCAUUGAGGUUGAGCUUUUUUUUUUACUAAAUAAAAUUGUAUUAGUAUAGCAUUUUUUGAUGCAAUACUUUUUGUUUAAAAUUGAUACAGGUACUUGUGUUACCUUUUCUUUUGUUGGUUAAAGUUAAUGGGGGUGAUGUAUGAGAUAGGAAUAGGAUAUAGGGGAACCAAAGGAAUACAAGAUUAUUAUGUUGUUUCAAGAAGUUCAAGAAAUCAUGGUUAAGCAUGGAUACAGUCAUAUGGAUAUGAUUGAAAUUUCUGUUGUAUUACCAUGAACUACAAGUAGGCAGAGGAAGCUCAUCUCAAAGGAUAGUGAAUUAUAGUGGGGGUAAUUCCUAAAUUAUGUUUAACGUAACAUACAAUCAGGGAAAUCUCACCCGCUCAAAGUAUUAAAAUUUAAUCGAACGGAUAAUGUUUAAUUUGUCCAAAAGUAGCAAUGGAGGGGAAACUGGGUGAAUUGGUUUGUUUAGAAAAAUAAGUAACCGGAACAAAUGGUUUGAAGACUAUUUGUGGAGGGAGAAAAAUUAAAAAUCAAAGAGGGAAUGCUUUAGGGUUUAUCAAAAGGGAAAAAACUAUCCGUGAAAGAAAAUUUUCAAAACAUAAUCGACCCCGUCAACAAAGUCGAUGCCUAUUCAUCUGCAAGUGGUUGCUGUCAGCGUUUCUUCCUCAUGCGGCUUGGCUGAUCGGUCGAACGUAGGCAGAAAGAUUGCUUGUCAUUAUGUUGCUUCACGGAUUGGCUUUUCGUUAAGCAAACAUCGUAAGCCUAUCAUCAAACAUAUCACAUAUGGAUUCGAUAAAUUCCUUGAUCGAUCAUUUCUAGUUGCUAAUAUUUCUUUAUUCAAUUGAUUACAUGUUCUUUUCCUUUUGUUUUUUAUUUUAAUUUUUUAAAUUGACAUUACAUUAUUGUAUAUUCUCUUUGGUCACUCUUAGUAAAAAGCAAAGAUCAUUCAAUACAUACCCAUUGCCUGCUUUGAUUGCCGAAUAUACUGAUUAUUGUUUUUGCUGAAUUAUGUUCUAUUUAACUUGUUUCCUUUUUAGAUAGUUGGCCAUUUGAGCACUGAUCUAUGUCAUUGAUUGAUUUUGAAAAUACUGAUUUCAAAGUUGAAUUAAGUAUUUAUGAAUUUUCGUAUUGGGUUUUAGCACUUAUAUGUUGUUUGUUAAAUAAUAUUUACAAUAAUAGGAAAAGACAUUAAUUUGACUCCGCCAUUUUUUAUCUGCAUGCUAAAUUUGAAAAAUGGAAUCAACUCUUUAAAUAGUAGAAAUGGCACUUUGUAUGGAAAUUAAAAAAAAAUAGAUAAGAAAAUAGUUAUGAUUAAACUCCAUCUCCUACCAUUUUAUAUGAUAAGUAAUGGAAAUAUAAAGUAAUAUGAUUUUGUUUACACAAUAUUAGUGUUUAGGCAAUAGGCACCUCUUAUUUUGUAUUAUGUAUUGUCAUUAUAAAUGCAAUUUGAAAAUAGUUAACUUUUCUUUACCAGAAAUAUUAACAGCUCUAUUUGGUUUGAGUUUUUUCACUAUUGUCAAAUUUGAUGGUAUUUUAUUUACAUGGAGUUGGUGAAUAGGGAAAAUGGGAUGCAUUUGGGAAGAAAUGAGAAAGAAAAAUGAAGCAGUUACAUGUGCUAGUCCUGCUUGAAACAUGCAAUCAGAAUUUUUUGUUUUUCAAUUUAACUGUUUGCAAGAGAAAAUUAUUCGUCUUUAUUAGAGCAUUUAAGAGAUUAAAUUGAAUAAUCAAUUUUUUAUCAUGGAAUUUCAAUUGUAGUUAUGAAUCCAUAGUUGUGUUCUCAUGUUGAGUAAUUUUGGGUUUAUGAGGCUUGCGUUUCCAAUAUGAAAUUUUUUAUCAUAGAGGAGAAAAGAGCAAGUUCAAUAUUUCAUGCGUAAAAGAAGUUUCUGGUAAUAUCUCUUUAUUGAAUUUAGGCCUAUACUUUCUUUGUCUUAAAUACUGCUUGUAUAAGUUUGCAAUUUCAUUCUUCCAUGUUUGCAUGAUUUACUUGAUAAAAAAGAAACAAAUGACUCUCUUAAAAACUUGUUUGAAAGCAUCAGUGAUGAGCAUAAUUUAUAUACAUAUUUUACCCUUAAUAAUAUAAUUGCUAGUUAUAUUUAUUUGUUAUUUUUAAUUAAUUGAAUUGUUUUAUUGAAUAGGGAAUUAAUUGGAGAUUGUUGAUAAAAAGGUCAUGAAAACACUUCAAAUUGAGAAGGAAUAAAGAUUAAAUUGGAAUACAAAAAAAUGCAACCAAGAAUUAAUGGAAGUAAAGAAGACCAAAAUUGGAAGUCAAUCUCUUCAAAGGAUGAACGGUGGGCAUGCAUUUGGAAAGCAAAGAUUUGGCAAUUUGGAAUGCAUGUGCUGGGCAUUAAAAGAAGAAAUCAUUAAUUGGCCUUUUGCUUUUGUGGUCAAACGUGUGCUUUGUUUUCAAAGUUUAGUAAGGAAUAAUUUUAAAAGGCCUUGGUGAGUGGGCUUUAUAAGUCGGUGGAGAAGAAUUAAUGCAAUUAGAAUCCAAUAAGGAUUAAGCAAGUCAGUAACAUUAUAUAAAGGCAAGAGGGCCACGGGAGGGCAGAGGAAGAAUUCGGCUUUGAACAGAGAGCAGCGGCAGCAGCAAUAUUUCGGCUUCCCCAUGGCUGGAGAACUGGAGACGCAAGGAUUCAAGAUAGAGAAGAAAAUCUGCAGCAAUUCGGCUUCCCCAUGGCUGAAUUUAUUUAUUUUGUUGCUCCCAAUUCAAGUAUGUCUAGCUAAUUUUCUUAUACUGAGGUUAAGGAUGAAACCCUAUUCAAUGAAAUAAUUAUCUUUUUAUUUAAUUAAUUCCCUAUAUAUGUUCUUUAAUGAUUAUGGUUUUUAUUUCACAUGAUUAAUUGGAUGUUAAUAAAAUCUUUUCAUCAAUUCUGUCAUGCAUUAUUGAUUGUUAGGAUUAAUAUUCGAUUAAUUCUAUGCUUGGAUCUAUAAAGUUUAUACAUGAUUAUCUUUGA